AUACGUAGGUGGCAAGCGUUGUCCGGAAUUAUUGGGCGUAAAGCGCGCGCAGGCGGUCCUUUAAGUCUGAUGUGAAAGCCCACGGCUCAACCGUGGAGGGUCAUUGGAAACUGGGGGACUUGAGUGCAGAAGAGGAAAGUGGAAUUCCAAGUGUAGCGGUGAAAUGCGUAGAGAUUUGGAGGAACACCAGUGGCGAAGGCGACUUUCUGGGCUGUAACUGACGCUGAGGCGCGAAAGCGUGGGGAGCAAACAGGAUUAGAUACCCUGGUAGUCCACGCCGUAAACGAUGAGUGCUAAGUGUUAGGGGGUUUCCGCCCCUUAGUGCUGCAGCUAACGCAUUAAGCACUCCGCCUGGGGAGUACGGUCGCAAGACUGAAACUCAAAGGAAUUGACGGGG
rnacentral:rRNA from 1 species